CAACCCUCAAGCCUUGCUUGGUGUUGGGCCCUGCCCGCUGCGGCCGGCCCCAAAGUCAGUGGCGGCACCGUAUGGUCCUAAGCGUAGUAAUGCUCUCGCUCUAGGGUCCUGCGGCUGCACGCCAGAACCCCAACUUCUAU
rnacentral:misc_RNA from 1 species